UCUCAAGUUGAUGAUCCUUCAGAGUCGACUUGGUUUGGUUCAAUCACAUCCGCUUGUACCAUACAAUUGUUUCAUUCUUACAGUUCAAGAUGGUAAAAGCUGUAAGAAUUCCUUAAUGAGGAGAAAAGGAUAAAUGAAAAGAAAAAGUAAGAGAUGAUACGCUUUAUCCAUCUUCAGAGUCAACUUGGUUUGGUUCAAUCACAUCCGCUUGUACCGUAUAUUUCACUUUUACAGUUCAUGAUGGUUAAAGCUGUAAGAAUUCAUUCAUGAGGAGAAAAAGGAUGAAGGAAAAGAAAAAGGUAAGACAUGAUACACUUUAACCGUCUGCAGAGUUCAACUUGGUUCGAUUCAAUCACUUCCACUAGAAUCAUAUAAUUGUUCCAUUUUUUACAGUUGAAGAUGGUUAAAGCUGUAAGAUCCAUUCAUGAGGACAAAGGAAUAAAGGAAAAGGAAAAAGAAAAGAAAGAGUAAGAGAUGACACGCUUAUAAGAGUUCUUUUUAUCUUAUAUUUCUCCAUCAGUAACAUCUGCAUAUGUUAAAUCAGAAACAUCUGUUAAUCAUAUCCAGCCAAUUACUCCAUAACAUCAAUUCUUUUGGUCAUAAUUAUACUAACAGUUCGAUCAAAAGAUAAUAAG
rnacentral:lncRNA from 1 species